rnacentral:rRNA from 1 species
CGCGUAGGCGGUUGUAAGAGUGUGAUGUGAAAGCCCCGGGCUCAACCUGGGAAGUGCAUCGCAAACGAUAUGACUGGAGUAUAUGAGAGGGUGGCGGAAUUUCCGGUGUAGCGGUGAAAUGCGUAGAGAUCGGAAGGAACGUCAAUGGCGAAGGCAGCCACCUGGCAUAAUACUGACGCUGAGGCGCGAAAGCGUGGGGAGCGAACAGGAUUAGAUACCCUGGUAGUCCACGCUGUAAACGAUGGGGACUAAAGGUUGGUCGGGGAACUGAUCAGUCUUGAAGCUAACGCGAUAAGUCUUCCGCCUGGGAAGUACGGCCGCAAGGUUGAA